rnacentral:rRNA from 1 species
UAGAGUUUGAUCAUGGCUCAGGAUGAACGCUAGCGGCAAGCUUAAUACAUGCAAGUCGAGGGGCAGCAUGAAGUAGCAAUACUUUGAUGGCGACCGGCAAACGGGUGCGGAACACGUACACAACCUUCCUUUUAGUGGGGAAUAGCCCAGAGAAAUUUGGAUUAAUACCCCGUAACAUAACGAUGUGGGAUCACAUUGUUAUUAUAGCUUCGGCGCUAGAUGAUGGGUGUGCGUAUGAUUAGAUAGUUGGCGAGGUAACGGCUCACCAAGUCUACGAUCAUUAGCUGAUGUGAGAGCAUGAUCAGCCACACGGGCACUGAGACACGGGCCCGACUCCUACGGGAGGCAGCAGUAAGGAAUAUUGGUCAAUGGACGCAAGUCUGAACCAGCUAUGCCGCGUGAAGGAUUAAGGUCCUCUGGAUUGUAAACUUCUUUUAUCUGGGACGAAAAAAGGUCUUUCUAGAUCACUUGACGGUACCAGAUGAAUAAGCACCGGCUAACUCCGUGCCAGCAGCCGCGGUAAUACGGAGGGUGCAAGCGUUAUCCCGGAUUCACUGGGUUUAAAGGGUGCGUAGGCGGGCAGGUAAGUCAGUGGUGAAAUCCUGGAGCUCAACUCCAGAACUGCCAUUGAUACUAUCUGUCUUGAAUAUUGUGGAGGUAAGCGGAAUAUGUCAUGUAGCGGUGAAAUGCUUAGAUAUGACAUAGAACACCCAUUGCGAAGGCAGCUUACUACGCAUAUAUUGACGCUGAGGCACGAAAGCGU